UACGUAGGGUGCAGGCGUUAAUCGGAAUCACUGGGCUUAAAGCGUGUGUAGGCGGAUCGUUAAGUGCCUUGUGAAAUCCCAUGGCUUAACCAUGGAACUGCUUGGCAUACUGGCGGUCUUGAGCCACUUAGGGGCAACCGGAACAAAUGGUGGAGCGGUGAAAUGCGUAGAUAUCAUUUGGAACGCCAAUGGUGAAAACAGCUCGCUGGGACGUAACUGACGCUGAGACGCGAAAGCGUGGGGAGCAAACAGG
rnacentral:rRNA from 1 species